UUUUUCUUGAUAGAAGCUGCAAUUCAUAUAAGCCGUGUAAAUGGGGGCAGUGCUGCGUAAGAAAGGACAAAAAAACAACUUGUCGUCCUUCUGCGCGUUAUGGAGGACGCUGCACGAACACUUCUUCCCGUGGAAUUUAUCAGAAGCACUGCGAUUGUUUCUUAAACCAAGGAACGUGUGUUAAUAAUAGAUGCAUGUAGCCAAGCGUCUUUCUACAAUAUUCGCCCAUUAAAUUUAUCCAAAAGUCAGGCGCACAACUGUUUAAUCGAGAAGUGGUGAGCAUCGCCACUGACUAUGUAACUCAAGAGGCUGUUAGGGUCCGCUUAUAAAAACAGGGCGUGAAAACAUGGACACAGGAGCGUAGUAAAGACACCAGAAACGCCG